GACAGAGGGGGCAAGCGUUGCUCGGAAUUACUGGGCGUAAAGGGCGCGUAGGCGGCACGGCAAGUCGGGAGUGAAAGCCCGGGGCUCAACCCCGGAGGGUCUCUCGAAACUGCCGAGCUAGAGUGCGGAAGAGGCAAUCGGAAUUCCCAGUGUAGCGGUGAAAUGCGUAGAUAUUGGGAAGAACACCGGAGGCGAAGGCGGAUUGCUGGGCCGACACUGACGCUGAGGCGCGAAAGCCAGGGGAGCAAACGGG
rnacentral:rRNA from 1 species